rnacentral:rRNA from 1 species
UGCCAGCCGCCGCGGUAAUACGUAGGGUACAAACGUUGUUCGGAAUCACUGGGCAUAAAGCGCACGUAGGCGGUUCGCCAAGUCAGGUGUGAAAUCCCCCGGCUCAACCGGGGAACUGCAUCUGAUACUGGCGAACUCGAGGAUGGUAGGGGUGAGCGGAACUCCAGGUGGAGCGGUGAAAUGCGUAGAUAUCUGGAGGAACACCGGUGGCGAAGGCGGCUCACUGGGCCGGACCUGACGCUCAUGCACGAAAGCGUGGGUAGCGAAGAGGAUUAGAUA